UGUUGUUUCAGUUUUGUGUUCAUCGUGUGGAAAAAGCUCCCACAGGCAAGAGGAUUUUUCUGAUAUCAGCGUUGCCAUAACUGAGAAGAAUUCCCUUGAACAUAGUGUGAUGAGAUACUUUGGGCAUGAAAGCAUUCCAACGUAUCGAUGCGAGAGGCAAGUUUGAAUAACGUAUAAACCCGUUAUCCUGUA